GAUGAGGUGGUCUAGCGGUUAGAACGCUGGCCUUGUAAUCCUGGGGUCUCGGGUUCGAUUCCCGGUUAUAACU
rfam:Zootermopsis nevadensis contig29055, whole genome shotgun sequence.